rnacentral:miRNA from 1 species
UUGUCAGGCUUGUUAUUCUCC